GAUGAACGCUGGCGGCGUGCCUAAUACAUGCAAGUCGAGCGGUAAGGCCCUUCGGGGUACACGAGCGGCGGACGGCAGAGUAACACGUAGGAACGUACCCCAAAGUGAGGGAUAGCCCACCGAAAGGUGGAUUAAUACCGCAUGUGGUCUUCGGAUUAAAGCAGCAAUGCGCUUUGGGAACGGCCUGCGUAAGAUUAGCUAGUUGGUGAGGUAACGGCUCACCAAGGCGACGAUCUUUAGCUGGUCUGAGAGGAUGAUCAGCCUGACUGGGACUGAGACACGGCCCAGACUCCUACGGGAGGCAGCAGUAGGGAAUUUUCCACAAUGGGCGAAAGCCUGAUGGAGCAACGCCGCGUGCAGGAUGAAGGCCUUCGGGUUGUAAACUGCUUUUGUCUGAGAAGAAUAUGACGGUAACAGACGAAUAAGGGUCUGCUAACUACGUGCCAGCAGCCGCCGUAA
rnacentral:rRNA from 1 species